AUAUUUUUACACUUAAGUUACUUUAUUUCAUUAAAAUAUAAAUAUUCUUUGGUUUAGAAUUCUAAAACAUGGCUUUAAAUAAACCAUUAAAUGAAUUUAAAAAAAAUAUAAACUAAAAAUAUCACAGUCAACUACAUCAGGCUACAUAACCUCUUCUGUGCAAUGUUUUUUGUUAAUUAAGUAAAUCUCCAACAACGAUAUUAUACGGAUGGGGUGGAGAAA